UACGUAGGGCGCAAGCGUUGUCCGGAAUUAUUGGGCGUAAAGAGCUCGUAGGCGGUUUGUCGCGUCUGCUGUGAAAACCUAAGGCUCAACCUUGGGCUUGCAGUGGGUACGGGCAGACUAGAGUGCGGUAGGGGUGACUGGAAUUCCUGGUGUAGCGGUGGAAUGCGCAGAUAUCAGGAGGAACACCGAUGGCGAAGGCAGGUCACUGGGCCUGUACUGACGCUGAGGAGCGAAAGCGUGGGGAGCGAACAGG
rnacentral:rRNA from 1 species